ACAUGGUGGGGGAAACACUAUCCACAAUGUAAGCCUAUUAUACCGACGUAUAAGUUUGUUGUGUUGUACCUUUUUGCGUGUAAACUGAUUCGAGUCAACGUGUAACAGAAUAUAAUAUUUACGAAAUACAUAAACAGCAAAGCUCUUUCAAAAGGUUUUUGCUCCAAGUAUCAACAAAGAUUUAAGAAUUUCAUUUGCAUGCGUAUCAAUGAAAUAAUCGAGUGUUCGUAUCGCUAAAAUAAAAGCCAAUCGUAUAUGAUUA